GGGCGAUUAGCUCAGUUGGUAGAGUAUCUCGUUUACACCGAGAAUGUCGGCGGUUCGAGUCCGUCAUCGCCCACCA
rnacentral:tRNA from 12 species